rnacentral:misc_RNA from 1 species
GAACUCGGAUUCUCUCAUGAAUCCGGUAAGAGGGCUGGCCCAUCCUUCGCUGAGCACAUGAACCCAUUGAAUAUCGAUGCUAGAAAGCUCGAUCCUUGGCAAGGAUAAGGCUUCCUUCUUCUUCAGACCCCUCAGAGGCUCCUCAACUAGAAGCUCCACCAGCCUUCCGCCGUCCGGUUGGAUCAAACCGGCGGAAACCCGGAGGCGGAGAUGGGUCUUCU